GUAGGGAGCGAGCGUUGUCCGGAUUUACUGGGUGUAAAGGGUGCGCAGGCGGCUCUGCAAGUCAGGCGUGAAAGCUAGGGGCUCAACCCCUAAACUGCGCUUGAAACUGUGGAGCUUGAGUGAAGUAGAGGCAGGCGGAAUUUCCGGUGUAGCGGUGAAAUGCGUAGAGAUCGGGAGGAACACCAGUGGCGAAGGCGGCCUGCUGGGCUUUAACUGACGCUCAGGCACGAAAGCAUGGGUAGCAAA
rnacentral:rRNA from 1 species